ACCGCCAUGGAGUGCUUUCAUGUAGUUUAUUACCACAAUUUGUAUCUCUGUGUUGCCACGUAUACAAUUUGCAUUGAAAAAUUGCAUCUUCUUGUGAAUAUAUCCUUGAGUCACAUAAAAGGAAACGAAAAUGUACGCAUCAUCAAAUGGCAUAAUAUUGAAGUCAUCAACCAAGAGGCGCAUAUAAACACACAUGAACAACAACCAUUUGCUGCUGCUGAUUUUACUGCUGUUGUACCGUGUUGUCGGUUAGAUAGCGAAAAUUGGAUUUCAGAUAGCACAGAAGAGUUGGAAUCCUCUUCUUCAGAGAUAUUACCCAAUCCCAAAUCCAAUUUGAUUUUCUCCUCAGUGCUUCUGUACUAUAUGAUGCACCACUGCACUACUUUCUCUCUCACUCUGUCUGAUGUUGUCAGCUAUGAAAAUCUCCAACAAAAAAUGUAAAAAAAAAAAAAAAAUUAUACGAAGAAUCCACUCAAGAAUUCGUGGUGUUAGCAACGCACAGCUUAUUGCAUGACGUUGGUAUACAGCGGAUUUGUGUACAAGCUAGAGAGGAGAUGGAGGACAGCCUGCCAGAUACAAAUCCUUCUAUUCAUUACUUCACUUGAGGAUGAAAUUCCUCGCCUUCGCUCUCUUCCAUCUAACUAUACAGCAAACAAUGUGAGAGGAGGUUGGACGAGGAACUUUAUUAAAUGCAUUAGCUUAAAAGUAC